CGCGAUUGCCGUGGCGAUUUGUCUUCCGGAUUGCGGGCCACGUUAAUCACUCCGCUAAAGAGGUCUGGGACGAUGAACG
rnacentral:ncRNA from 23 species